AGUGAACGCUGGCGGUAGGCCUAACACAUGCAAGUCGAACGGCAGCACAGUAAGCGCUUGCUCUUACGGGUGGCGAGUGGCGGACGGGUGAGGAAUACAUCGGAAUCUACUUUUUCGUGGGGGAUAACGUAGGGAAACUUACGCUAAUACCGCAUACGACCUACGGGUGAAAGCAGGGGAUCUUCGCACCUUGCGCGAUUGAUUGAGCCGAUGUCGGAUUAGCUAGUUGGCGGGGUAAAGGCCCACCAAGGCGACGAUCCGUAGCUGGUCUGAGAGGAUGAUCAGCCACACUGGAACUGAGACACGGUCCAGACUCCUACGGGAGGCAGCAGUAGGGAAUAUUGGACAAUGGGCGCAAGCCUGAUCCAGCCAUACCGCGUGGGUGAAGAAGGCCUUCGGGUUGUAAAGCCCUUUUGUUGGGAAAGAAAAGCAGCAGGUGAAUACCCCGCUGUUCUGACGGUACCCAAAGAAUAAGCACCGGCUAACUUCGUG
rnacentral:rRNA from 1 species